rnacentral:lncRNA from 1 species
UCCGUUCGCCUCGGCCUCCCAAAGUGCCAGGAUUACAGGCAUGAGCCACCGCGCCUGGCCGUAACUGAUUCUUUAUAUAUAAUUGUUGCCUAAUUCCUAGCAUACUGAGAUCCUAUUUAUUUAUUUAUUUAUUUAUUUAUUUAUUUAUUUAUUUAUUUUCUGAGAUCUAAUUUAGACCAUGGAGAAGAAAAACAAAAAGGUGGUAUUAAUAAACUGCUUUGGGGAGUAAAAGAACCUCUUAGAAUCCACGACAUCAUGGAUGGAAGAGAUCCUUAAGGAGGGAAUGAAGCACAGCUCAGAGUGGGAAGGUUAGCAAUGUUCAAGACCAAAGUUAAUCAUCUCUACAUGAGUCAAUUGAAAGAAAAGAAUUAAAAGCAUUAAAAAAAAAACAAUAUGAGUAAUGGGAGGAGCUGAUGAAGCCUGCUGCCCAGAUGAGGAUUGGAAACUAUUUAAACUGGAUAAUACAGUAUGUGUUUUAGCUCUGAGAAAACAGAAGUUGAACUUUUGAGUAGUAAUCAAGGGCACGGUCUCAAAGUAUUUGCAAAUAGUGCUGGUAUGGAGAACAGAUGCCGACAUUAUUGCCAAUGGGAAUCACAAUGUGAUAGUUGGAGUGAGAGACUAAAAGAAACCACAGGGAAUUUUUGCAGAAAGCUUGGCAUUGAACAUGAUUUAUGGUUGAUUUAAGAAGGAGACAAGGAAAAUAAGGCUACAGUGUAUACCAUCUGACUGCUGCGGACCAAGGAUGUAAACAGUUAGCCAUGGCUCUCCAACCUCCUGGAAAUCAGGAUUCUGCUCAUACAGAAAGGCGCCAGAAUGUUUGUCUGAGUUAAGUGCAUACUUCUUUUUUAGUAUCUAAGAAUAGUUAUCCUCCUUUCCUCUCCCAUUACUGCUUGGGUAUCCUUAAAAAUCCUCACCAGCUAUUAAGUAUCAUGGAGUUACGCAAAGAGGUCUGCAGGGAACUUGAUGGCUUCCCAAAGUGGAUCAGAGAACCUCACAGGAGGCCCUAGGCUUGAAAGGAUGAUUGCAGAAAGGAUGACCUACAAGUGGAUGGUCAGAUCUGGCUGCAAAUGGAUGUCUGAAAGAAAACGGGGAUCCUAGGAAACCCAUCACAGCCCUCUAUGAGCUUCAGAAACCAGCAAGCAGUCCCAGCUAAGGUCCCGGUCAGCAGCCAGCAUUGACCACCAGAUGUGUGAAUGAAGAGGCCUUCAGAUGAUUGCAGCCCCUAUUGUUAAGGCAACCCCAACCUCCGAGUCUUCCCAGCAGAGGAUUCAGCUACUAUGGAGUCAAGAUAAGUCAUUCCCACUGUACCCUGUCUGGGGUCCUGACACAUGAAGAUUGGAAGUGGUUUGUCACAUAGCAAUAGUAACUGAAACACUGGGAGAGGGACGUCUUUAAGAGGAGAAAUUAAGUUCCCAAUGAGAUUUUAAAGAUGUACUAAUGAAACAAUCAAGUAGAGAUAUCAAGUAGUUAGUUGGACAUGUGAGCGUAAGCAGACUUCUUGGCUGGAGAUAUACUAAUGGCAAACAGCAUAUGGAUGUCAUUUAAUUUCCCAGGCCUGGGUGAGAUCACCUACAGCAGGAGGUGGACAGAGAAGAGGAGCUGGUUCAAGACCUCAUUCUGAGGAAGCCCAGUAUUUAGAGAGAUGGGUGUCUCGCUAUAUUGCCCAGACUGGUCUC